rnacentral:tRNA from 1 species
GGGCCGGUAGUUCAGCCUGGAAAAUUCGUAAUUUGGGAAAUAGAACGCUCGGUUGGCAAUCGGGAGGCCUCGGGUUCAAAUCCCGACCGGUCCACCA